UGUGAUGCUGACUUUAACCAGCAGGAUGCAGAGGUUGUGUGUCGGGAGCUGGGCUGUGGUUCUCCUGUGGAGGUUCUGGGAGCAGCUGCUUUUGGUAGAGUGGAGGGUCAGGUGUGGUCAGAGGAGCUUCAGUGUAGAGGAAACGAAUCACAGAUUCACUUCUGUCCAAAAUCAUCUUCACUCAAACACAACUGCUCCCAUGAUAAUGAUGUGGGACUGGUGUGUUCUGGAGUCCGGGUGGUUGGUGGUUCUCACUGUUCUGGGAGAGUGGAGGUUCUUCAUGGAGAGGUUCUUCUCUGGCGUCUCAUGAGGGUGUAGUGAGAUUGACUGGAGGGAUGGAGUGUGAGGGGGAGGUAGAGGUUUUCUUCAGGCAGGACUGGAGGAGAGUUCUGCUGGACUCCUGGAGUGAGUCUGAGGCCUCUGUGGUCUGCAGACAGCUGGGCUGUGGUUCUGUACUCAACACCUCCAGCUCCUCUUCAUCCAGUCCUGAACACAGCUACAUGUGUGUGACGGGUUUCAACUGCUCUGGGAGUGAAGCUCAUCUGAGGAACUGCAGCAGCUCACAAGCAGUUAACUGCAGCUCCACGGAACAGCUCUACAUCACCUGCUCUGGCUACAGCUUCAUCAGGCUGGUUGGUUCUGGGGGAGACUGUGCUGGAAGGCUGGAGGUUUUCCACAGUGGAUCAUGGGGGACAGUGAGUGAUGAAUUGUGGGAUAUUGAGGAUGCGCAGGUGGUCUGCAGACAGCUGCAGUGUGGAGUCGCCCUCAGUGCUCCAGUACCGGUACCAGCCCGGUUUGGAUCUGGAACUGGACCCAUAUGGCUGAAUGAGGUGGAGUGUGAGGGGAACGAGGCGUCUCUGUGGAACUGCAGAUAUCAGCUGUGUGGAGAGGAUGAAUGAAUUCAUUUAUGAAUUCAUGAAUUCAAUUUAUCUUUGACUACUCCAGUAUAUCCAUGUCUGGCACAAGUUAAAAACAAUGUCUUGCCUACUGUACAGUUUGUAAUAGUGAUUUUAGGAUUGCCCAGGGGUAACUACAGGAUUGUAAAAGGCAUGUUGAGGUGAGUUAAUAUCCUUUGGUGUGUGGGAGUUUUUUUUUUUUUUUUUAAAGGGACACACUUUGAUUUGUCAACCAGUUCUGAUUGCAGAGGGCGACAGUACCAAUACAUUGAAAACCCCUUAGUAUUUUAAAAGUUUGAGUCUUUGAGUAACAGUGUCUUGCUGCCAUCAUCCUGAUGCUGCUGUGCUGCAAUGCAUUUUUUAAUUUUUACAGAAAACUAUGGCGAGGUCUAUGAUGAUAUCAUACCUGCUGAAGAGAGCCCACACAUUACAACAGACAGUGUGAGGUUGGUGGAUGGUGGGAACCGCUGUGCUGGGAGAGUGGAAGUUCUUCAUAGAGGACAUUGGGGAACAGUGUGUGAUGAUUACUGGGAUAUGAGAGAUGCUGCAGUGGUGUGUAGAGAGCUGGGCUGUGGGGAAGCCAUAGAUGCACCACGGAGAGCUCGCUUUGGAUCAGGAUCAGGACCGAUCUGGGUGGAAUAUGCUAACUGUGCUGGAUCAGAGUCUUCACUGAAGAACUGUAGGUCGUAUGAUUGGGGUAGACAGAGAUGUAAUCAUGAUGAAGACGCUGGUGCUGUUUGUGCAGAAGUCAGAUUGGUGGGCAGAUCUCGCUGCUCAGGGAGAGUGGAGGUUCUUCAUGGAGAGAGCUGGGUCACAGUGUGUGAUGCUGACUUUAACCAGCAGGAUGCAGAGGUUGUGUGUCGAGAGCUGGGCUGUGGUUCUCCUGUGGAGGUUCUGGGAGCAGCUGCUUUUGGUAGAGUGGAGGGUCAGGUGUGGUCAGAGGAGCUUCAGUGUAGAGGCAGCGAAUCACAGAUUCACUUCUGUCCAAAAUCAUCUUCACUCAAACACAACUGCUCCCAUGAUGAUGAUGUGGGACUGGUGUGUUCUGAAAGUGUGAGGUUGGUGGAUGGUGGGAGUCGCUGUGCUGGGAGAGUGGAGGUUCUUCAUAAAGGACAGUGGGGAACAGUGUGUGAUGAUAACUGGGAUAUGAUAGAUGCUGCAGUGGUGUGUAGAGAGCUGGGCUGUGGAGAGGCUGUAGAUGCACUUAGUGGUGCUUACUUUGGAUCAGGAUCAGGACCAAUCUGGAUGGAUAAUGUGGAGUGUAGAGAAUCAGAAUCCAUACUAAAGAACUGUAAAUCAGCAGGAUGGGGUAAACAUAACUGUAAUCAUCCUAAAGAUGCUGGAGUCAUCUGUUCAAGAGUCAGGCUGGUUGGAGGUUCUCAUUGCUCUGAGAGAGUGGAGGUUCUUCAUGGAGAGAGCUGGGUCACAGUGUGUGAUUCUGACUUUAACCAGCAGGAUGCAGAGGUUGUGUGUCGAGAGCUGGGCUGUGGUUCUCCUGUGGAGAUUCUGGGAGCAGCUGCUUUUGGUAGAGUGGAGGGUCAGGUGUGGUCAGAGGAGCUUCAGUGUAGAGGCAGCGAAUCACAGAUUCACUUCUGUCCAAAAUCAUCUUCACUCAAACACAACUGCUCCCAUGAUAAUGAUGUGGGACUGGCAUGUUCUGGUGACAAGCGAAGACUUGUUGGUGGUCCUCACGCAUGCUCUGGGAGAGUAGAGAAGCUUCAUCGGAAUUCUUGGCUUCCAGUGUGUGAUGCUGACUUUAACCAGCAGGAUGCAGAGGUUGUGUGUCGAGAGCUGGGCUGUGGUUCUCCUGUGGAGGUUCUGGGAGCAGCUGCUUUUGGUAGAGCAGAGGGUCAGAUGUGGUCAGAGGAGCUUCAGUGUAGAGGAAACGAAUCUCAUAUGUACCUCUGCCAGACAUCUCCUUCCUUGAAACCCAACUGCUCUCACAACAAGGAUGUGGGACUAAGAUGCUCUGGUCACACUCAGGCUCGGCUGAUGAACGGCUCAGAUUCCUGUUCUGGUCGAGUGGAGCUCCAGUACCUCAGUUCUUCUCUGGCGUCUCAUGAGGGAGGAGUGCGGUUGUCUGGAGGGAUGGAGUGUGAGGGGGAGGUAGAGGUUUUCUUCAGGCAGGACUGGAGGAGAGUUCUGCUGGACUCCUGGAGUGAGUCUGAGGCCUCUGUGGUCUGCAGACAGCUGGGCUGUGGUUCUGUACUCAACAUCUCCAGCUCCUCUUCAUCCAGUCCUGAACACAGCUACAUGUGUGUGACGGGUUUCAACUGCUCUGGGAGUGAAGCUCAUCUGAGGAACUGCAGCAGCUCACAAGCAGUUAACUGCAGCUCCACAGUACAGCUCUACAUCACCUGCUCUGGUACAGCUAACACAGUCCACAGCUUCAUCAGGCUGGUUGGUUCUGGGGGAGACUGUGCAGGAAGGCCGGAGGUUUUCCACAGUGGAUCAUGGGGGACAGUGAGUGAUGAAUUGUGGGAUAUUGAGGAUGCGCAGGUGGUCUGCAGACAGCUGCAGUGUGGAGUCGCCCUCAGUGCUCCAGUACCGGUACCAGCCCGGUUUGGAUCUGGAACUGGACCCAUUUGGCUGAAUGAGGUGGAGUGUGAGGGGAACGAGGCGUCUCUGUGGAACUGCAGAUAUCAGCUGUGUGGAGAGGAUGAAUGUGGACACAAGGAUGAUGUAGGAGUCGUGUGCUCAGAGUAUAAAGAGAUCAGACUGACUGAGGGCUGUGAGGGGAAUCUGGAGGUGUACUAUAAUGGAACCUGGGGGAAUGUGUGUGUAAAUGGGAUGACUGAUGAAACGGCAAAAUUGAUCUGUCGAGAGCUGAACUGUGGAAGAACUGGCAGUGAGUCUUGGUCUAAAGCAAGAGUGGAAUCAGCUCCUAACUGGCUGGAUAAUGUACAAUGUAGGAAACAUAACUCCACUCGGUGGCACUGUCCAUCUUCUUCCUGGGGGGAGAACAGGUGUGAUAAUCGCAAUGAGGUUGCUUGCAUUACCUACUCAGAGAAUGGAAAUACACUAGAUUUGAUAAAUUGGCUGUGUGAUUCAUCUCCUCAUGAGAGACCGUGCUCAAAGCACAUUCCUCUGAGGCUGAGGGGAGGAGUAGGAAGCUGUUCUGGAUGGCUGCAGGUGUAUCAUAAUAAAACAUGGGGGUCUGUAUGUGGUGACCUCUGGGACAUCAGGGAUGCUCAGGUGAUCUGCAGGCAGCUGGGUUGUGGGCCGGCGCUGAGUGCUAAUAGAAGAGCUGCUGAUGGUUCUGGUGGAGGAACUAUCUGGAUGAACAGAGUGAAGUGUAGAGGGAAUGAGAUUCACCUGUGGGACUGUCCUCAUUCCCUGAAGAACCACACUGGCUGCUCCCACAGUGCUGGAGUCACUUGUGGAGGCUUCCUGUAUCAUACUUUGCCUUUAAAUAAUAAAAGAGGACAGAUGGGACAUUUUGUCUUGCAAGAUUCUCAACCACAGACAAGAAGAAUCAUACUUCCACAAACUCCUCCACCAGCUGUUCCCUCCAUCUAUCCAGUGUCUCUCCUGGUUCUGGGAUAUGUGCUCUUCCUGGCCUUAGUGCUUCUGGUUGUGCUGUUUUAUCAGAACAGAGUGCUCAGGAGAGUGAUCUCUAAGAGGAGGAAGACUUCAGCUGAGCCUGUCUAUGAGGAGAUUGACACCAGGCUCAUCCCUAAAAGAAUUACUGUCUCAACUGAAAGGUGGUGAGCUUCCUGAGGGCUUUGAGGAUAGUUAUCCUGGUGCGUGUCUUUCGUCUGGCCUCUCAGAAGAAAGAUCUGGAGAAGGUCACUACAAGAAAGGUAUCUCUGAGAACAAAAGGCGGUAACAAAAAGGAUGGAUUUGAUUUGGAUCUCACAGCAGGCACUCUACAGAAAUCCCAUAAAAGAAGCUGCCAUAUUUCUGGACACAAAGCAUCCCGAUCAUUACAGAGUUUACAAUCUCUGCAGUCAAAAAGGCUACGAUCCACUGUUCUUCCAUUACAGAGUGCAACGAGUGAUGAUUGACGACCAUAACGUACCGUCAUUAGACCAACCCACUCGUUAGGACUCCCCCUAUCACUAGUAAUGCCCCAACACACCAGGAGGAUGAAGACUAGCACACUCUUUCUCCGAUACAUGUGAAGUCAGCCACCGCUUCUUUUCGAGCUGCUGCUGAUGCAGCAUUGCCAAGCAGCCAGCACAUUUGGAGGAAAGCGCAGCGGCAGGUGAACCCGAGGAACCUGAGGAAAGUGGUGGGAAAUCUCGAGCCAGGUCAGACCUUGGGUUGGGUUUGGGCAGAGAACCUAAGCUCUUAUUCACAUAUUGAACUUUGUGUUAUUGUGUUCUCAGUGACAUGUUGAACUACACUGCCAGUUUGAGGGAAUGUCAUUGCCAUCCACUGCAAAGGAGGCAAAGGUGUGGGAAAGGGCAAUGGCAGUGAUCUGAAGGUGCGGAUCAUAGUGAAAAGAGAGCAGGUGUUCCAGUGUGUCUGUGCCACGCAGACGAACUGUAGGCUGUUCCCAGAUACUGAAAACAAUGCCGUGGUGAUCAGCUUUCAGGAAGGGCCAGUGGUUUGUGGUGAUGUUAAGGUCAUGUUUGAAUCCAGGGCUGGUCUUCCAAAGGGGUAUGAGGACUAUCCUUUCUAUUUCUGGUUCAACACUUCAUUUGUAGAGAACAACAGGCUCUAUCUGUCAAGGGAGGAACUGGACAACCCACGUAAGUCCAAAACCUGGGACAUCUACAAGGAGGACUUUGGUGUGACCGUGUCUUUCAGUGACCCUGCACUUAUGUAGCAGACGACACUUGCUUGUGUAUCUCAACUAAAACCCUUAAGCCCUGCACAAGGUCUAAAUCUUUGCUCUAAUGUAGGUUUUCACACACUUAUAAAAGGUGAGUGAUGUUUAGGGAUUGGAUUCGGGCAUAUUGUGCCCCUAAAGCUAUAGCUAUAUAACCUCAACUUUAUGUCCAUCCCCCAUCUUCACUGUAAGAGCUUUUUACUGAGCCGUGCAUACAUCACAAUAUUAUGCAUUUGUUUGUCAAAUGUUUUUUUGUCUUUAAAUGAAGACAAAUGUUUGUGUCAGUUUAGCAUAUUAUGCUUCCAAAAUGUAAAUCUUACUCUUUAAGCUUGAGUGUACAUCAAAUAAAGCAAUCGAGGCUGCCACUGUGAAAUGGUCAAUGGUUAUGUGUGCAGAAACAUUUUUUUGUAGUACACAUGUAUUGAAAUAAAUACUAAUGUCUCUGUAA